rnacentral:rRNA from 1 species
ACAGCAGUAGCCACGGUAAUACGAGGGGGACAAGCGUUGUUCGGAAUUAUUGGGCGUAAAGGGUGCGUAGGCGGUUUGACAAGUCUUAUGUGAAAUCUUCGGGCUCAACCCGAAGUCUGCAUAGGAAACUGUCGGGCUUGAGUAUUGGAGAGGUGAGUGGAAUUUCCGGUGUAGCGGUGAAAUGCGUAGAUAUCGGAAGGAACACCUGUGGCGAAAGCGGCUCACUGGACAAUAACUGACGCUGAUGCACGAAAGCUAGGGGAGCAAACAGGAUUAGAUACCCGCGUAGUCCCUGUCUCUUAUAA